rnacentral:rRNA from 1 species
AGUGAACGCUGGCGGCGUGCUUAACACAUGCAAGUCGAACGAGAACGGGUUAUAGCUUGCUAUAAUUGUCAGCUAAGUGGCGCACGGGUGAGUAAUGUAUAGGUAAUAUGCCUCUUACUAAGGGAUAACAAAUGGACACGUUUGCUAAUACCUUAUACUCCUUAUUAACAUAAGUUAAUAAGGGAAAGAUUUAUUGGUAAGAGAUUAGCCUGUAUUGUAUCAGUUAGUUGGUGGGGUAAUGGCUUACCAAGACUAUGACACAUAACUGGUUUGAGAGAAUGAUCAGUCACACUGGAACUGAAACACGGUCCAGACUCCUACGGGAGGCAGCAGUGGGGAAUAUUGCACAAUGGACGAAAGUCUGAUGCAGCAACGCCGCGUGGAGGAUGACACAUUUCGGUGCGUAAACUCCUUUUAUAUGAGAAGAUAAUGACGGUAUUAUAUGAAUAAGCACCGGCUAACUCCGUGCCAGCCGCCGCAGUAAGAC